GACGAACGCUGGCGGCGUGCCUAAUACAUGCAAGUAGAACGCUGAAGAGAGGAGCUUACUCUUCUUGGAUGAGUUGCGAACGGGUGAGUAACGCGUAGGUAACCUGCCUUGUAGCGGGGGAUAACUAUUGGAAACGAUAGCUAAUACCGCAUAACAAUGGAUGACACAUGUCAUUUAUUUGAAAGGGGCAAUUGCUCCACUACAAGAUGGACCUGCGUUGUAUUAGCUAGUAGGUGAGGUAAUGGCUCACCUAGGCGACGAUACAUAGCCGACCUGAGAGGGUGAUCGGCCACACUGGGACUGAGACACGGCCCAGACUCCUACGGGAGGCAGCAGUAGGGAAUCUUCGGCAAUGGGGGCAACCCUGACCGAGCAACGCCGCGUGAGUGAAGAAGGUUGUCGGAUCGUAAAGCUCUGUUGUAAGUCAAGAACGGGUGUGAGAGUGGAAAGUUCACACUGUGACGGUAGCUGACCAGAAAGGGACGGCUAACUACGUG
rnacentral:rRNA from 1 species